GUUUUAGUGUAAAUAUAUCCCAUGCAACAUUUGGGAUAUACUUAUACUAAAA
rfam:Nomascus leucogenys chromosome 10, whole genome shotgun sequence.